CUACCAUAAGCUUAAAAAGACUCUAACAUCCAGAGUUAAAAUACAUGCACACAAAGAUCAAAAGGGCUUUUAUUUGGUUGUAACAUGGCCAAGGUAAGGGUGAGAUAAAUCCUUUUUUUUUCUAUUUUUUUUCUUUUUCUGCCAACUUCUGAAAUAUUACAAACAUAAUUAUUCAACCUCACACAACUCCAAACAAGACUCUUUCAACCCUUUGAAUAGGGUGAUAACAUUGUUUUUCACUUCCCGGCUUGUAAUGAAU
rnacentral:lncRNA from 1 species